UUACAUUGUCUGUUUUUGUAUUUUAGAUCACCUCACUUGUCGAUGAUCAGCCAGAUUUUGAAGUCCAUUUGCCAAAUCAGCAAUUCAAUAAUUUCUACAACAAAACAAAAAUCCAGAAGAUGAUAGUUUCGAUUAAACGGCAGAUUGAUUUAAACAGUGUAAAGGAUUUGUAUUACACAUCAAGCUACGAUAAAAUUGUUAACAUUCUGGAAGACAGUUUAAUCCACUCUUCAGAUAUUCAAUUCGGAAAAGGAGAUUUAUUAAGCAUUUCGACACAAAUUGAAAUUUUAUUGGAGAGUUUUUGGCAUUUGGAACGUUAUUUGGACUGUCUUGUUUGGGCCGAAAAGUCGUUGAAAUAUGCAGUAGAUCUAUUUGUUUCUAUUCAAAAUGGAAGCUUCUUACGACGAAAUGAUUAUGCAAGGUUAAUAAAUUACGUGUUGCCUUAUAUUCAAGUUUUAAUAGAAAAAUCUGUAGACUGCACAGCUCUUUUCAAAAAUAUGGCACGAUUGAUUCAAAGCAUCCAUAAAUUAUUGACUCAUCUACUUGAUAAUCAACAAGAGAAACAAAUGUUCAAUCAUUGUACAAUAGAGUGUUGGAGAGCUUGGGUUAUCAUAUACUACGUAC